UGCAUGUCUAAGUAUAAGCAAUUAUACCGUGAAACUGCGAAUGGCUCAUUAAAUCAGUUAUCGUUUAUUUGAUAGUACCUUACCACUUGGAUAACCGUGGUAAUUCUAGAGCUAAUACAUGCUAAAAACCUCGACUUCGGGAGGGGUGUGUUUAUUAGAUAAAAAACCAAUGCCCUUCGGGGCUCUUUGGUGAUUCAUGAUAACCUAACGGAUCGCAUGGCCUUGCGCUGGCGACGGUUCAUUCAAAUUUCUGCCCUAUCAACUUUCGAUGGUAAGGUAUUGGCUUACCAUGGUUUCAACGGGUAACGGGGAAUUAGGGUUCGAUUCCGGAGAGGGAGCCUGAGAAACGGCUACCACAUCCAAGGAAGGCAGCAGGCGCGCAAAUUACCCAAUCCCGACACGGGGAGGUAGUGACAAUAAAUACUGAUACAGGGCUCUUUUGGGUCUUGUAAUUGGAAUGAGUACAAUUUAAACCCCUUAACGAGGAACAAUUGGAGGGCAAGUCUGGUGCCAGCAGCCGCGGUAAUUCCAGCUCCAAUAGCGUAUAUUAAAGUUGUUGCAGUUAAAAAGCUCGUAGUUGAAACUUGGGUCUGGCUAGCGGGUCCGCCUCACCGCGUGCACUUGUCCGGCUGGACCUUUCCUUCUGGAGAACCUCAUGCCCUUCACUGGGUGUGUUGGGGAACCAGGACUUUUACUUUGAAAAAAUUAGAGUGUUCAAAGCAGGCCUUUGCUCGAAUACGUUAGCAUGGAAUAAUAGAAUAGGACGUGCGGUCCUAUUUUGUUGGUUUCUAGGAUCGCCGUAAUGAUUAAUAGGGAUAGUCGGGGGCAUCAGUAUUCAAUUGUCAGAGGUGAAAUUCUUGGAUUUAUUGAAGACUAACUACUGCGAAAGCAUUUGCCAAGGAUGUUUUCAUUAAUCAGUGAACGAAAGUUGGGGGAUCGAAGACGAUCAGAUACCGUCGUAGUCUCAACCGUAAACUAUGCCGACUAGGGAUCGGGCGAUGUUUCUAUCUUGACUCGCUCGGCACCUUACGAGAAAUCAAAGUUUUUGGAUUCUGGGGGGAGUAUGGUCGCAAGGCUGAAACUUAAAGAAAUU
rnacentral:rRNA from 2 species